rnacentral:tRNA from 1 species
UUGUGCGGCUCGGUCGACGCGGUGAACCUGAGCGUCCUGGCCUCGUCGGGAAGAGCGUUACGGAAGCCGAGUUCGGGCUCGGUCGCGCGGU